rnacentral:rRNA from 1 species
UACGUAGGGUGCAAGCGUUGUCCGGAAUUAUUGGGCGUAAAGGGCUCGUAGGCGGUCUGUCACGUCGGGAGUGAAAACUCAGGGCUUAACCCUGAGCCUGCUUCCGAUACGGGCAGACUAGAGGUAUGCAGGGGAGAACGGAAUUCCUGGUGUAGCGGUGAAAUGCGCAGAUAUCAGGAGGAGCACCGGUGGCGAAGGCGGUUCUCUGGGCAUUACCUGACGCUGAGGAGCGAAAGUGUGGGGAGCGAACAGG